GCACCGAGCCGGACCUGCGAGCAGCGCGGGCGGCAGCCCGGGGGAAGCGUCCGGGACCAUGUCUGGAGAACUACCACCAAACAUUAACAUCAAGGAACCUCGAUGGGAUCAAAGCACUUUCAUUGGACGAGCCAAUCAUUUCUUCACUGUAACUGACCCCAGGAACAUUCUGUUAACCAACGAACAACUAGAGAGUGCGAGAAAAAUAGUACAUGAUUACAGGCAAGGAAUUGUUCCUCCUGGUCUUACAGAAAAUGAAUUGUGGAGAGCAAAGUACAUCUAUGAUUCAGCUUUUCAUCCUGACACUGGUGAGAAGAUGAUUUUGAUAGGAAGAAUGUCAGCCCAGGUUCCCAUGAACAUGACCAUCACAGGUUGUAUGAUGACGUUUUACAGGACUACGCCGGCUGUGCUGUUCUGGCAGUGGAUUAACCAGUCCUUCAAUGCCGUCGUCAAUUACACCAACAGAAGUGGAGACGCGCCCCUCACUGUCAAGUAAGGCCAGGAGAUUUGACCACUCUCUGCAGUUCUCCAACCUUCAUUUUAUUAAGUGGUGAUACUCUCCUAUUUAAAAAAGCCUAUGUGUGCAUAUUUUUAUAU
rnacentral:sRNA from 1 species